rnacentral:rRNA from 1 species
AAUAUGGAACAAUGGGCUAAAGCCUGAUCCAGCCAUGUCGCGUGGAUGAUGACGGCCCUAGGGUUGUAAAGUCCUUUCGACGGGGAAGAUAAUGCCGGUCCCCGUAGAAGAAGCCCCGGCGAACUUCGAGCAAGCAGCCGCGGUAAUACGACGGGUGCUAGCGUUGCUCGGAAUCACUGGGCGUAAAGCGCACGUAGGCGGCUUUUUAAGUCAGGGGUGAAAUCCUGGAGCUCAACACCAGAACUUCCUUUGAUACUGGAGAGCUUGAGUUCGGGAGAGGUGAGUGGAACUGCGAGUGUAGAAGUGAAAUUCGUAGAUAUUCGCAAGAACACCAGUGGCGAAGGCGGCUCACUGGCCCGAUUCUAACGCUGAGGUGCGAAAGCGUGGGGAGCAAGCAGG